UCGGGAAUUUUGGGCAAUGGGCGAAAGCCUGACCCAGCAACGCCGCGUGAAGGAUGAAGUAUUUCGGUAUGUAAACUUCGAAAGAAUAGGAAGAAUAAAUGACGGUACUAUUUAUAAGGUCCGGCUAACUACGUGCCAGCAGCCGCGGUAAUACGUAGGGACCAAGCGUUGUUCGGAUUUACUGGGCGUAAAGGGCGCGUAGGCGGCAUGACAAGUCACUUGUGAAAUCUCUGGGCUUAACCCAGAACGGCCAAGUGAUACUGUCGCGCUAGAGUGUAGAAGGGGCAAUCGGAAUUCUUGGUGUAGCGGUGAAAUGCGUAGAUAUCAAGAGGAACACCUGAGGUGAAGACGGGUUGCUGGGCUGACACUGACGCUGAGGCGCGAAAGCCAGGGGAGCAAACGGGAUUAGAUACCCCCGUAGUCCCUGAGCGGGCUGGCAAGGCGCAU
rnacentral:rRNA from 1 species